CAUAUGUCAGGAGUGCUCUGAUGGUGUUUCCUGCUUGGCAGGGGGUUGGACUCGAUGGCCCUUGUGGUCUCUUCCAACUCUAUGAUUCUAUGAACUCCUAUGAGGUAAUAAAAUGAGAGUGAAUGUCACAACUGCUCCGAAGUUUCUGAGAUGCAGAGAACUGCCAAGUCCCAGUGCAGUUGUUGGAAGCAGUGAGGAUCUCCUGUGAACCCCGGUUCUCUUCAGGAUUCUGCUCCCUUAGUUCAAGCAUCUGCUAGUUGUCACAGUCAAUAAGUUUCCUGAAAUUCCGGCACAUUUACCCAAGGGACAGCCAUCGUACAAUUGAAAGCCUCACAUGCCAUAUGGCUCACCAAACUGCCCACCAGGAAUGUAUGGCAGCUUCGCAUGGAUCCUCCUCUUCUGAGGGUGUCAGGCAUGGAGGAUCCUUUCUUCCCCCAGUAGCAUCAAAGGCAAGAAGAACAAGCAAGUUGUAUUUAUGGCUUUUAUUCAGUCAUCUGGGUGCAAGAGAAAAGAAUCCAUGUCUCCACACAAAGGUGACGUUGCCUACUCAGAGUUCCUCUUCCUCCCCAACAUCCUGAGUACCUACAGAAAGUCCCAUGAGUCACACUCCUCUGCAAUCUCUGUUCUUGAAUGCGGAGUGAUCGGCGAGCCCUUGGAGAAGGAAGAUCUCCCAGACUAUCCAGGGAGGUCUCUGCUGGCUGCUCUUUCACUACCCCCUCCUCCUCUGUGUUGGCAAGAUGGCAAACUGUGUGCUGGAUGACAUUGUUAGGUCAAUCCACAACUGGCUGAACACAGAUACCCAACAAACAUGCAUUAAUGGCCUUGAGUGGAGUGCCAUGGGGCUCUGCCCUAGUCCUUUUGCUAUUCAACUUUUUUAUAAGUGACUUGACUGAAAGAGUUGAGGGGAUGCUUAUCAAAUUGCAGAUGACAUGAAGCAGGGAGGGAUAGCUACCCCAUAGAGACAAAAUCAAAAUUCAAAGUUGUAUUGACAGUCUUGUACAGUGGUCUGAAACCAACAAGAUGAAACAACUUCCGGUGGAGCGCGAGCCCGUCGCAAGCGAGGGAUUUUUCCGCGAGAGGAUCCCAGCUAUUUCGGACAGAAAAGGGGGGUUACAGGGCGCAGUAACCCCCCUAUUAAUCCUCUGGAGGGUGUCCAGAGAGUCAGGUUCCCGGCAGUGCCAAAAAGCUACCCGCCCGGCCGUCAGGUAACCCCGAAAAGGGGCGAAGAGUACGGCGGAACGGGAUAGCGGGCUAUCGGGAAGCCAUUGCUAUGUCCGAAUAGCGAAGCCCCGAGCUUGCAAGGAACAGUGCUCCGCUCUCAAAUAUAAGAAAUUCGGACCCAAUUUAUUUAUAAUUUGGAUGAUGUGGUACUGAGGAAGGCUCCGUAAAUAAAAAGGAUAAAUAUAGAGUUCAGCUGUCAUCUGGAAUCAGCGCAGAUGCAGCAUCGCAAGCAGAGCUGGAAAAUGAAAGUGAGUUGCCGCUAGCGGCUAUUGUUUCCGUUUCUCUCUAAACUUUCAGAAGUAAAGUAAAGAAGUAUAAAAGUUACUUUAAUAGAGGCUACAAAGAAGCAGGAGACUAUUAAAGUAAAAAGGGGGAACAGAAAGUCAUUAUAGUGGCAAACAGAGGUCUUUGAUGUAGCGGAGGACGCAUGAGGAAUGAAGUGUUUUCCCACUUUCACUUUUAAAGACAAAGAACUGCGAUGGAAGGAAAGCUUCCGACUCCAUUGUUAAUUGUUAAAUAGAGGCAAGCACUGGGAAGGCUGCAGUUGCAGAGAAGAAGGAACUAAUACAUUUUUCCACUUUUUUUUUUGGUUGAUACUGACUUUUAAGUAUUAAAAAAGUUAAAUCUGGCACAUGGAAAUUGGAAAAUUCCAAAAUAGUUGAGAUUGGUAACUAUUUGGAACUUUAGAUCUACGCCAUUUAAACUUGGACUUUGGUCCCCUAGUGGAUGGAAUGAGAUACUGCAAUUUGUUUUUUAUGAUUUUUUCUUGCUAGUGGUGUGUUUUUGAAGUGGAAGGAAAUUUUGAUUUUACUUUUGUUCUGCACUGGGUUUCUGUGGAACGCUCCCUCUGGAAUUUUAUUGGCUUAAUCUCUCAGUUACUUAAAUACCCUUUGGAAUAUUAAAUGGAUAACUGAGAACCAAUUUUUGAGGAAUUUUGAAUUUAGAGGAUAUAAAUUGAGGCUAUUUGGAUUAUAAUUCGAAUCACUUGGAAAAUAUUUACAUUUGGAUAAUUCACCUGGAUUACAAUUCGAAUUAUUUGGAUUACAAUUUUAUCUGGAUUUUAAAGGGCGCAGGAGGAUGUCUAGAAAAAGAGCCUAAUUGAGGAUUAGCCCCGCUGGCGGCAAGAAGAUUGGUUUCUACUUGGGCCUUGGUUUCUGAUUUGGUUUUUUACUCUUCGAAGCUACCAAGGGGGGAAAACAGACAACUCACCUCUCUGGGCACCCCCUUGUACAAAAGAUACCGCCCUCGCUUCUCUUUCUUCUUCAUCUUUUCAGCACUAUUCAAUCUUAUCUUACUCUUUUUCCUUUUUGAAAGUGAUACAUUACAAAUUAAAAUUGAAAACCGUUUAAAUUAUACCAACUAAAUUGGAUAUAUAUUAACUGAUCAUUUUGUUAAAUUGGGAUACUUGUUUCUGUAUGAUAUUUGUAUUGUAUUGUUUUGAAUGAUUGGGGAGUGUUGUUACAGAGGUUGGUGUUAGUAAGAUUUUAUCAGAAAUGACACAUCAACAGAAGAAAGGGAUGGAGGGGGGGACACCGACAAAUAGGAGACCAUCUAAGCAAGAAGCAGAUUUCAAAGCAGAAAUAUUGAAAAUGUUUGCAGAAAUUAAACAAAGUGGAAAGAAUCUGGAAACAAAACUAGAACAAGUGGAUAGCAAAAUUGGGAAAAUGGAUAAAAAAAUUGAUGAGACAGUUAAUGAACUGAAAGGGCAAAUAAGAGAGGUAUCUAAAAGAACCCAAUCGCUGGAGGAGGGGAUGAAGAGGACAAAAUUGGAAAUGAAGGAGGUGAAACGAGAGGAAGAGAGGAUUAAGGUGGAGAAGUUGGAAAUAAACCAAUCACAGGAGGAAAUUAAAGAUGUGAUUGCUAUGAAUGAGUUGAGACAGAGGGAAGUGAAUCUGAGGCUGAGAUCUGUGCCAGAGAUACAGAAUGAAAAUAUCAAAGAGAGAUUGAUAAUGGAAAUAGCGCAGUGGUUGGAGUUAUCAGUAGAAGAAGUUGCAAAAACAGUACAAAAUGUAUCAGAAUGAGAGUAAGAACAAGUAAAGCAAGAAAAUUUCCAGGAGAUUGUUUAAUUACCUUUAAGGAUAGAGAGAUGAGAAAUCUGAUAUUACAGAAGAAUAGAGAGAAAAGAUUAUACAUAGAUGGAAAUUACAUAAUCAUCUUUAAAGAUAUACCAAUAAGACUGUUGAAACGAAGAGACCCAUAUAAGCCACUGGUGCAGAUUCUUAAGAAAAACAAAAUUGAUUUCAAAUGGGAAUUUCCAGAGGGAAUUUCAUUCUUUUAUAAAAGUAAGAAACACAGAUUGACAAGCCCAGAAGAAACAGGGAAGUUCACGAGAAGGUACAAGGAAUUAAAAGUGGAAGAAGAAGAAGUCAAAGGUGUAGAAGGAGGUGUAGGAUCCAAAGAAGAGUUAGAAUUGGGGGAAGAAGAAGAAGAGAACGGAAAGAAGUCUG
rnacentral:lncRNA from 1 species